UCCCACCCAUCCCACCACAAAACCCACAGGUUUGUCAGAACCCCUGGGAAAGCUGUGGCCCAUUCUCAAACGGGCUGGCCACAUCAAGGAAGAACCACGUCCACACAAACCUGUAUGCAUCUUCAGGAGUGGUCUCAGCACAUGUCCUACAAGAUAAUGCUUGACAACUGUGAAACUUCACAAGGGAAAAGAGUGUGUCAUUAUCUUCUCCAGCAUUAAAGAGUGGGCACGGUAUGCAUGAAGAAAUUCAAUGUUCCUUUGGAACUAAAAGGAACUGGAUGAUUCAAUAAACUACGUAGGAAUAGCUGAGGUUUCCUGGGAGGAAAGAUUUGUAAUGAAUACCUUCCUACGAACAAGUCACUGUGGUUGAAUAUGGUCUUGUACAAUCUCACCUUCAAUGGUUGCAUACUUCUCAGGUCCUGGCUGCUGAGCACAAACUCUUUCCUAGACUGGAGCCUGAUCUUAUUCAACUUUUUUACUGGAGGAAGAAUGGUUUGGAGGUGAAAGAAGUUGUGAUGCCUGACUAAGAAGAAAAUUCAGUUAUCUGGAAAGUUAAUAUGAAGCAAACAUGUGAAACUGGUGUAGCUCAGACUGGGAUCAUAUCACAAUCCUUUAGCUGGGGAGUAAAUUCCACAGCAGCUAAUGCCUCCCAAAGAAGGACAGAGACUGGAAUUAUGGUUUUAUCAAGUCCCUUUGGAAUUCUGAUACCCUUGUUAGUUCAAGAACCAUGCAGUAAAGGAAAGGCAGUGAGAUACAGUCUUGAUUUAACGGAAUGAUUAGACUCGGGAGAAGAGCAGAGUAGAGGAGGGCAUGUUACUGAGCAGUCAACAUCAACUUUCAGGCUAUUGUUCCAGGAAAAGAUUUCAUGCCACUGGCUGAACUGGGGAGAAAUCACCCCACAACUUCACUAUUGGAACUACUCUGUUGUAUUCUUUUCACUUAUCCUUCCUUAUAUGAAAUAAGACAUAUCGUAACUGACCUUGGGUUUUCUAAUUCCCAAUCUGUCUAUUAAAAAUUCUUACAAGUUAGAAUUGACAGGUUAUAUGACAUCUUAGAAUACACAUAAUGCAUAUAUAUAUUUAUAAGUGUACCAUUUUAUCACUCUGAACUUGAUUUACCUUUGAAAGGAAACAGAAA